rnacentral:lncRNA from 1 species
GCAGGACACAAUGGAGCCUUUUUAUCUCUAUGAUCUUGGAAUACAGACAGAAAACAAAGCUAUCCAGAGGAUCCUUUGCCCCAUGGCCGCAGAGCUCUGUCAUCUAAUCCUCGCCCUGGAACAGGAAGAUGGGAUGUGUCAGACCUUACCCAAUAUAGAGGAGAAUGCAGAAAGAUUAGCCAAAGCCACUGAUGAACUCGCUUCUGCUGCAAGAAGGUAAUUUUGCUGGCCGAUGGGUGGUACUUAUGGAAUGGGGACAUGCUGAGCUCUGAGGCUUUUCUUCCAGAUUGGCCGAGCAAUCCAGUGACAAGGUAUACCAGGAGGAGACACAACUCACAGCCCAGUCCCUCAUGAUGGCAGGGAGGCACGUGCUGCAGGCAGCCCAACAGCUGCAGGGACAGCCGGACAGCCACAGCCACAGGGAGGUGCUGGCUGCAGCAGCAAAGGGCGUCCUCACUGAGACCGUGAAGCUGCAGAUACAGUAUCAUUUCCAGAGGGAUGCAACAGUGAUGCAUAACCUUAUCCACGCUGCCUUUGCUUUCUGCUGCACUAGAUCCUUCGGAUCGAAGGUGCUGCUGGGACAAGGAGGAUAACGCAGGCUGCCAGCUGGCUGCUGGAGUGCCUGGGCACGCUGCGGGAUACGGGGGAUGUGCCAGGACUGCUGGGUGCUUUCCAGGACUUCUCCAAGGCCUUUCUUCUGCUGAGCAAUCUGACAGCACAGCACCUCCAGGAACUCCAAGACUCUCCUCGACGGACCCGCUUGGCCCAGACUUUGCAGCUCCUUCAGGAGUGCGUUCCUCUGAUCCAUGAAUCCAAGCACCGCCACCUUCAGUGCUCCUGGCCUCAACGAGUCAACUGCUCCAAAAACUAUGCCUUCCAGCUGAUGGAGAGGACCAUCCAAGAGCUUGUUUCUUUGCUUGUCAACAGCAAGGGCAGCAAUGAGCUUCAGGACAGACACGGGACCUUCUCCCAUCAUGUGCAAAGGCUGCUGGCUCUCCUCUACCACCCAGACCCAGUUCACCUCUCUGACAGCGAGUUCAGCGCUCACGUGGAAGCAGUAGUUUUCUACUGCAUGCUUCUAGCAGAGAUGUGCAGGGCAGAUCUAAAGCAGGAUCUGGUAAAACGUUGCUGGGUUCUCCUACAGCUCAGAAAGAGCAUUUGCUGCCACGUAAGUCAGCAGGAGGGACGGACAAGGCCAAGCUGGGGAGAAAGCAGCCUGCAGGAGGAAUGUCACACCAUGAGAAAGGAGGUGAAGGACCUUGACCAGGCUGUGCUCAAAGCUACUCUGCAUGAAAUCCUCAAUGCCUUCUCUGAGGCUAAGGAGCCCCUGAGGCAGUUAGUAGAGGAAGCUCUUACCCAUGCAAAUACAGGGUAUUUUCCAGCAGAGCAGGGAGGAUUACUGAAGAAGCUUCAGCCCCUCACUGCCACCUUCUUCACACAUGCCCAGCAGGUGCUCAGAGUGACAGACUUUGUCCUGGGCAGGUGCACCAAACCUCAAACUGCUACAGAAAUCCACGACUGCAUAGAGCACUUGAAGAGCCUCCUUGCCAGUCUCCCUCCGGUGCUCACAGAAAUGAGCAGAAAUCCAACCCACGCGAGCACUGCUCAGCAGCUGCAGUCCUUGUACCACGCAUGGGCCAGGACAACAGAAAACCUCUUGCAGUGUUUUGAGGACACAAUCAGCAUGCAUGAGUUCAUGAAGGUGUCCAUCCAGGAAAUGGCCAAGCACAAGGAAUGGUGUGACAAGGCCCUACAACAUCAGGACCCCGAAAGGCUCUCUAGGCAUGCUGCUGUCCUCACCAGUUGGGCUCGGUGGGUCACUGAAGCUGCUGUCAGGUAUGUGGAUAGAGCAACAGACCCCAUCUUCAGGAACGGCCUGCUGGUUUGGGUUGAGCAGCUGGCCAAGUCCAUUCUUGAGCUGAAAGCAGCCAUGGCCCUUUGUGCGGAGAAAUGCUCCUGCCUUCAAACUAGGGCUGUCUUUUCAAAGACAGUGAGCUCCCUGAUGGAUGCUGCUCACUGCAUUCAGGAUGGGCUGGAUGGAUCCAACCACCCAGAUAUCCUCAGCCCUCUGCGGGAACAAGUACGGGGUGCUGAUGUUACGAAGGAGCUUGAACUCAACUCAUCCUAUGCUGGGUUAAAAAACAUUACCAGCCAAACUAAACUGCAAGAAGAUACCUUAAGUAAUCCGUCCCCACAAGCAGGUAACUCACACCCAGAUGUUGUUCCAAGGAAAGGAGAAAUUCACCCUGUCAUUACAGCACUCCUAGCAGCAACAAGAGCCCAUGAUACAGCAGCUGUGAAUGCUGCCUGCUCUGCCUUGCUCGAAGUCUCUACCUGCUGUAUUGAUGCAGCAAAGGAAGCACUGCCUAUUGCUUCCUCUCCCCUAAUGGAGAUGCUGGGGCAGUACCAGAAGAUUAUCUUACUGACACCAUGUGUUAUUAGCUUGGCCAGGGAAACAGCCCCAGGGCAGCUCCAGCAUCAAGACAGACUUCUCCAAACUGCACUUUCCCUUUCAGAAACCAUCCGUGAGACCAAAGAGUGCCUGGCAGCCCUGGCAGGCUCUUGGUACAGUCUGUCUCAACAAGUGCUUGGUUUUAUCUUGGCCGCUGACUUUAUGAGCAGCAAACAAGCUUUGGAUGAGACCAUGAUGGGUUUAGCAGGAGCGGUUCAGAUAGCAGAGGACAUUGCAAGCAUGGCCUGUAGUAAACAGAAUCCCAUUUGUCCUGGUGUCUGGGAAAACUUUCUACAGGUCCAAGCCAAAUUUUCACAUGCUCAGAUGAACACCAAAGUGUUACUUGAGAAAGCAAUGUCCUUUGAGGGCUCCUGCAAGCUGGGAGAGGCCAGGCUGGAGCUGCACUGUGUCCACUGGGCCAUCAGCAUGCAUGUGCUCCUGGGUGCUGUGGAUCAGUUCAUAGGCAGAGACAUCCUGUUCCUGAGGGAGCUAAGAAGUGCCAUGGAGAACAAGCUUUGUCCGCAGAGCCUCUUAGCUGCUGUGUCUGAGGCCUCCCUGAGGCUGCAGGAAGCUGCCCGACUCUCUUACUUCACUUGCCCUGAAGACCGCGGCCACAGUGAAAUCCUCACUCUCAGGGAAGAGAUAAAGGUGCUAGUGGAAGCACUGCUGGAUGCCUUCAAUACCCUCUUGGUCUCUCCGCUGCCUACUGCCAGCUUGUACAUUCGCUUUGAGCUCCUGCAGAGAGACUUGGCCCUCAGGGCCAAGGCGUUACUGCUUCACCUGGAGAAGGCCAACACUGAACACCUGCAAGUCAUCCGAGAUGUGGUUGGACCAGCCCUGUCUUCCCUCCCCAAAGAGUGCAGGGAGAUGAGCCUAAAAGCUUUUAAAGAGAAGGCAAGUCAGCUAAUGGCCAACAUCCAGUGGGUCAAAACCACCCUCCAAAAUGUCCUGGAGACCACCGCUCAACUGCAGUCAUGGGGAGACCUGCUCUCUGUUGCAGACCACCUCCUGGUCCUCACUUCUGAUGCAGUGGACAGUGCCAGCCAGCUCUUCCAAAGCCACCAGGACAAAAGGCAUCUCCACCUGGACAGCAUUGUCUGGUACUGGUCAGCUAAAGCACACUACCUUGCCAUGCAGCUUCAGGCUGUCCAGGGCAUCAAUGGACACAUCCUGGAGCUCAUGAGACAACACCUGCAAAACAUGGGGGACCAGUGCUCUCCAAAAGAGCACAGCAGCACAGCCAAGAUCUCCCCAGCCCAACAGCUUGAUGCUCUGAGGCCCACCAAGUCAGCAGAAACUUGCCUGAGCAGGAGUGGACAAGCAAGCAGAGCUAUCAGAGAGGCACGUGAAAUGCAAGGGAACAGUCCUCUCAGUACCUCCUUCACAAGCAGCUUUGGGAAACAAGAGAGGGAGGACAGUGACAGAAUGCAGGGAGGUCCCAGCAGGAUGACCCAGAUCACCAAGGACGUGGCAGUAAGGAUGCUUCACAUGACUCAGUUCCUGAGGAAGAAGGGCCCCAUCACGAGCAAGGAGCAGCUUGUUGCCUGCGCUAUGCAAAUAGCUUCUGAUGGGCAGGCAUUUGUUACAUUCGGCCGCAUCAUUGCGAAGAUCUGCCUGGACAAGAGCUGUUCUGCAGAGCUGCUGUGUGCUGCAGAGCAGACCCACACCAUCAGCAGCCAGCUCGCCAUCGUGGCCAGGGUAAAAGCAGUCACAGCUGAGAGCAAGUCCUCUUCUGAGCUGCUCGUGAGCAACGCGCAGAACCUAAUUCAAGCAGUUUUACAUGUUCUGAAGGCAACCGAGGCAGCAUGCAUCAAAGUAAGUUAA